UACAGGGGGUGCAAACGUUGCUCGGAAUCAUUGGGCGUAAAGCGCACGUAGGCGGUUCGUUAUGUCGGAUGUGAAAGCCCUUGGCUUAACCGAGGAAGUGCAUCCGAAACUGGCGAGCUAGAGUACGAAAGAGGAUCGCGGAAUUCCCGGUGUAGAGGUGAAAUUCGUAGAUAUCGGGAGGAACACCAGUGGCGAAGGCGGCUCACUGGUCCGGUACUGACGCUGAGGUGCGAAAGCGUGGGGAGCAAACAGG
rnacentral:rRNA from 1 species